AUUACCGAGUUUACAACUCCCAAACCCAAUGUGAACGUUACCAAACUGUUGCCUCGGCGGGAUCUCUGCCCCGGGUGCGUCGCAGCCCCGGACCAAGGCGCCCGCCGGAGGACCAACCAAAACUCUUAUUGUAUACCCCCUCGCGGGUUUUUUUAUAAUCUGAGCCUUCUCGGCGCCUCUCGUAGGCGUUUCGAAAAUGAAUCAAAACUUUCAACAACGGAUCUCUUGGUUCUGGCAUCGAUGAAGAACGCAGCGAAAUGCGAUAAGUAAUGUGAAUUGCAGAAUUCAGUGAAUCAUCGAAUCUUUGAACGCACAUUGCGCCCGCCAGUAUUCUGGCGGGCAUGCCUGUCCGAGCGUCAUUUCAACCCUCGAACCCCUCCGGGGGGUCGGCGUUGGGGAUCGGCCCUCCCUUAGCGGGGUGGCCGUCUCCGAAAUACAGUGGCGGUCUCGCCGCAGCCUCUCCUGCGCAGUAGUUUGCACACUCGCAUCGGGAGCGCGGCGCGUCCACAGCCGUUAAACACCCAACUUCUGAAAUGUUGACCUCGGAUCAGGUAGGAAUACCCGCUGAACUUAAGCAUAUCAAUAA
rnacentral:rRNA from 1 species